rnacentral:rRNA from 1 species
UCAGUCGACUCCUACGGGGAGGCAGCAGUGGGGAAUUUUGGACAAUGGGGGGCAACCUGAUCCAGCAAUGCCGCGUGAGUGAAGAAGGCCCUCGGGUUGUAAAGCUCUUUGUCAGGGAAGAAACGGUGAUCUCUAAUAUAGAUUGCUAAUGACGGUACCUGAAGAUAAGCACCGGCUAACUACGUGCCAGCAGCCGCGGUAAUACGUAGGGUGCAAGCGUUAAUCGGAAUUACUGGGCGUAAAGCGUGCGCAGGCGGUUUUGUAAGUCUGAUGUGAAAUCCCCGGGGCUCAACCUGGGAACUGCAUUGGAGACUGCAAGGCUAGAGUGUGUCAGAGGGGGGUAGGAAUUCCACGUGUAGCAGUGAAAUGCGUAGAGAUGUGGAGGAAUACCGAUGGCGAAGGCAGCCCCCUGGGAUAACACUGACGCUCAUGCACGAAAGCGUGGGGAGCAAACAGGAUUAGAUACCCUGGUAG